rnacentral:siRNA from 1 species
UAAGGAUUGCCAGAUAAUGCCUA